CCCACCUCACCCUCGCAGCAACCCCCUUCUACACCCGCCUCCACGGAACCCUGAUCCUGGCUCCCCUUCUCUCCGACCCCAGGCUGAAAACCACUGCCCGAGAUGUUCCGUGACAUAUUAGCUCCCUUCUUCAUAGGGUGAAUGGCUUCUGAGACCCCAAACCGGAACAGACCAUGUGUCUGAAUGCAGAAGCUGAGCCCCAGAGCCCAGGGCCCCAGGAGCCUGAGAGAAAGUGCCCUAAGGAGACCCCUGCCAGGUGAGGCCUAUCUCUGAGGGCUCUGUCCUUGCCUGGCGGCCCUCAAAACCUGGCUAACUGCUCACAGGCAAGUUGUGCCCUGGGUUUCCCCCACCAACUCCACACUUCACCCUGGGGGGAAGGGAAGGGUCACCAAAGUCCCUAACCCCUCCUUCAGGUGGGGGGCCUGUGCUCUCCCACCUCUGUCUCUUCAGCCUCCCCCUCCUCCUUGCUGAUCUCACCUGAGUCUCCCCUCCCCCGACAGGCAGGCGGGGAGCAAAGGAAGAGGAGAAGGCAGGACAGAUCUCCAGCUCCCUAUCUUCUGUGGGACCCUUUGACCCCUCAGCUGUCACAACUGACCUUUUCCAACUUCUCCUACCAGAGGCCCCACCCCCCACCAUGAAGCCCCUUUCCAGCCUGGAAUGUGAACUCCCCUUUCCGUGCCCCAAAUGUGGGAAGCGCUUCAGCCAGGGGGCCCAGCCUGACCCUGUACCUACACUCCCACACAGGUGACAGGCCCUGCUCCUGCAGCCGGUGUGGCCACAGCUCCUACCUGCCCCAGCCCCCGACACACAUGCCCACCAGUGUAGCAAGGGCUUCUCCCCAGAGCUCUGGCCGGCUGCAGCACACCACUGUUCACACAGGCACAUGGCCCUACGUCUGUGUCACCUGUGGAUGGGGUUCAGGAGCCACCCAGCCUCGUCUAUCGUGAGAAGACUCACUUAGUGAGCACAGCUUCCCCUGCCCCGAGUGUGGCAAGCACUUCACCCAGAGUGUCCGCUGAGCCCAGCACCUACGGACGGAUGCUCACAGGGGAGAAGCCCUACCUGUGCGGCUAGUGUGGCCAUGGCUUCAGCCAGCACCCCUGGCUCGUGGCCCACCAGUGGGUCCACCACUUGGUUCCUCUGCUGUCCCUGCCGGCCCACACCUGCUAGGUGUGCUCUUCCCUCGGGUGCGGGCAGUAGCCUGCUGCCACACAGUGCAGCACAUGAGAAGCCCUUCUUCUGCCCCCAGUAUCCCGAGGGCUCUGGCUACUCCAACCUGCAACACCACCAGCAGGACCACGGGGGGAGCGGCCCCACCACUGUGACCAGUGCAGCAAGGGCUUCAGACAGAGCUCAGGGCUGUGUGGCACCAGGGAGUCCACAGGGGCAAGACUGCGAGUGCAGUUUCCGGUCCAGCUCCGGCCUGGCGCAGCACCUGCAGGGCCGCUCUGGGGACAGGCCCUUCUGCUCUGGCGGCUGUGGCUUCACUCAGAGUCCCCAUCGACCUUGACAACAGGCCAGGGCUGGUGAGGAGCACAGGGAUGAACAUGGAGGGGGGGGACAUCUGGAGGCCAAGUCAAGGCCCCUGUGGGGAGCCAGCCCCCCAACUCCACAGCACUCUAGGAGGGUAGAGGGGCAGUUGGAAUGACUGCCUCUUCUGUGGGAGGCAUAAUGGAGCACAGCUUCCACCACACCCCAGCCAGAGCAACUUUCAGAGCAACCACAUUGGGUGGCCAGAGUGUCUCUGCUGGACCUACUCAAAGCUGGAAUGGCCAGGUCCACCUCACUUCUAGUCCAACGUGCCAGUUCCCCAGAGAGCUCCCGGCCUGGGAAAGAGCUCUCCCUGUUUCUUAGAAAGGACUCUGUACUUCUGAUCUUCUGUCCUCCGUCUGAGACAUUUAACCAGGAUGUCUGGGUCCUGCUGCCUCAUGGAUGGAUCCGAUUCCCUGGGAUUUUUUUGAAGGGAUCAUUUCAAAGAGAUAACUGAAUCCCCAUAGAUCUCCAUGACAACGCCCACCAUCAAAUCCUAGUCCCCCACUAACCCCUCCAACCCUCUCAUUUCCCCCGAGGCUUCUGGAUGCUUCUUGCCUCUGGUGCUAAAGCUACACCCAGCACACCUGUCUGAUGCUGCCAUCUCCCUAUGCCUACUCCUGGCCUUGCUAGGCCCUGUUUCAGGACCCCAGGGCUUCCUAAAACCUUCAUUGCACUUCAGUCUAGGAAUAAAGCCCAGAUGGAGGCUGCUCUUUCCAGCUGUACAGAGGCCUCCUAUUGAAAGGUGCAAAAGGGCAGAGGCAGGUGUCCAAGGAGAGGGCAGGGAUGUGGAGGAGAUGGAGACCGGAGGAAAAGCCAAAGGAGUUUGGAGGAGAAAGUGGGAGGUUCUGGAAUGUGGAGAAAAGACAGCAGGGCUGUGUGAGACAAGACCCACAAGAAACAUCUCAGAAAAACUUAGAAACAAAUGUCUUCAGGUACGAACAUCCCCGGGGAACCACUCAUUUCUUCUUCAGUUGACAAGUUUCCCCCAGUGUUGUGAAGGCACUGAGUUGCCAACACAAGCACUUCAUGUCCUGCCAUUUGCACUUUUUCCACAAAAUUGCUUGCUAACUGUCUUCUUCGUGUGUUGGCAAACUGAUUUUGAACAAAGAGUCAGGAGGGAGUCCCACAGCAGAGUCCCUUCCAGACUGGUGCCCCUGGCCCAGCCUGGCACUGAGGAGAGCGCUGUCAUCAUUCACCCUUUUAGAAGGUUCUGCUGGGGGAGUCACUCCCUGGCAACACUCACAGCAAGUUUAUGGUUACUGUUCAUGUUAAAGGAUAAGGUAGACCUCAGCUCUUGUAUUAACUUCCCCCAAAGUAUACUCUUUAGAACUGGGCAGAGUCCUCCCUAGGAGGUAUCAGAGGCUGAUUACUGACACACACACGAAGGAAUUAAAGAACUGGAGGGAUAAAAGGGUCACUGAGAGACUGCUAAUCAGUUUCACCCUUUCAGGAAAUAUGUAUUGAGUCCACCACGUGUCAGGGACUGUUCUGGGACCUGGGUAUUACAAACAGGCAUAUGAUGCAGCCCCCGCCUUCCACCGAUUUGAUCUAGGCGUGUUCAGCAUCUCAAUAUUGAACCCAGCAUCUAGUCCUAUCAAUUGUAUCCACUAUACUCUCUCAAGUAUGUCGUCUCUUUCCCACCCCUCCACCUCCCUUGUCCAGCUACCACCUGGACCAUCUGGUUCUCCUCUGAAUCAUCGUGAUGGCUGGAGAGGCUGGGAAUGGCGUUCUCUGUGAGCAGCACACCUGAGUAACAGAGGCCUCUUUGAAAUGUAAAUCUGAUUGUUUCAGGCACCCUGCUGAAGCCCAUUCAAUGGUUUCCCAUUGAUCUCAGGUUAAAGACCCCAGUCCUUAACCUGGCCUUUAAAGCUCUGCGAGGUGUGGCCGUGUCGGCCUCUCCAGCCUCAUCUCCCACCACUCACUCCUCUCUCCCUCGCGCAGAGCGCUCCACUUCCUGUCGGUGUCCCGCUUCCUCCCGCAGAGAGCGGCGGCCAGGCUGGGCCCUCCUCCUGAGAGGUGCUUUCUUCCAUUUCUCUCUUAGCUCCUCAUUCUUCGGAUCUCAGCUCCUUUACCACAUCCUUAGGGAAGGUACCCUAUCCUUUCCUUCAGGGUCCAAUUCCCUCCUCUGGGCUCCCACACCAAGGUGCACCUUUCUUGGAGGCACUUGGCACAGUUCAGUUCCAUAUUUGUUGGUGAUUAUUUGAUUGAUGUCUGUCUCCCCACAGACUGUAAGCUCCCUGAGGGUGGGCACCACGACUGCAGAGGCUCACUCUUGCUAUUCCCUGGAAACUCCAUAAAUAUUGAAAUAUUGGUUGAAUGGGUGCACAUGCGCCAGGAUCUGCGGCAGAGGCUAGAUAUUUCAGGAUUUCAGAGAGGGUGGAUUGAGGCCGUAAUUUCCCUCCAGCGGCUGCCGCCCAAGAGUCCCAUAUGCCAUUUCCUUAGCACCAUUCCUUUCUCCAUGUUUCCUGGUGUCAUCCAUCUUCCCAGCUCCACCUCUCCGGCACCCUCCUCACCUCCACCUUGCCUAGGAGAACCUUUCUCCCUUUAGUUUUUUAGUGCCCCUUCCUGGUCUUGGCUCCUUGGCUUCAGAAGCCAGCAUGGAAUAAUGAGGCAAUAGCACAGGAUUCAGAAACAAAAUAUCUGGAUUCAAUAACAAGGUUAAAAGUAUUAGCGGUGUGACCUUCAGCAGGCUAUUAAACCACUCGGAACCCUAGCUUACAUAAAAUGGGAACAACUUCGAAAUCAAGCAAGUUGGAGGAAUUAGAAAAUCUAAAAGCACCGUCAUCUAGAAAUACUGGAUAAAAUAUGAAAAAAAUUAAACAUAUGACUGAAUUCUCAAAAGGAAAGUAAAAUUCCAGGUGCCAGAAACAAAGAGGAAACUGAAAGCUGGAGGCUGAGCUGACUGUGGCCACGGUGACCAGAAGGCGGCUGGAGGGAAUGGGUUCUGUUAACUCAGGGCUUGAGUGCUUCCAGCCACCCGGGGACAGGAGACGAGGUCUUGGUCCUGAAGAGGUGGGGAAAUUAGAUGAAAGGAGCCAAAGCUGACUCAAGAAGAAAUUAAAAACCUGAACAGAUCUAUAAAUUCUAAUAAAUUAAAUGAGAAGCUAAAAAUGUACACGCACACAGCACCUAGAUGGUUCCUAGGUAUAUUAUUCUGCCAACUCUUAAAGGAACUAUUUAUUUAUUUAUUUAAACUACACCAGAUAACGGUAAAAGAGGAAAAUCUCACUUAUAAGACUAAAAGUCCUAAAUAAAAUAGUAG
ensembl:lncRNA